rnacentral:rRNA from 1 species
AUACGUAGGGUGCGAGCGUUAAUCGGAAUUACUGGGCGUAAAGCGUGCGCAGGCGGCUUUAUAAGCCAGAUGUGAAAUCCCCGGGCUCAACCUGGGAACUGCAUUUGGAACUGUAAGGCUAGAGUACGGCAGAGGGGGGUAGAAUUCCACGUGUAGCAGUGAAAUGCGUAGAUAUGUGGAGGAAUACCGAUGGCGAAGGCAGCCCCCUGGGUCGAUACUGACGCUCAUGCACGAAAGCGUGGGGAGCAAACAGGAUUAGAAACCCCUGUAGUCC